rnacentral:rRNA from 1 species
UACGUAGGGGGCAAGCGUUUGUCCGGAUUUAUUGGGCGUAAAGAGCGUGUAGGCGGCUAGAUAGGUCCGUUGUGAAAACUCGAGGCUCAACCUCGAGACGUCGAUGGAAACCAUCUGGCUAGAGUCCGGAAGAGGAGAGUGGAAUUCCUGGUGUAGCGGUGAAAUGCACAGAUAUCGGGAAGAACACCCGUGGCGAAGGCGGUUCUCUGGGACGGUACUGACGCUGAGACGCGAAAGCGUGGGGAGCAAACAGG